GAGGGGUGGAGGUCUAGUGGAGGGGUGAAGGUCUAGUGGAGGGGUGAAGGUCUAGUGGAGGGGUGAAAAUGUAGUGGAGGGGUGAAGGUCUAGAGGGGGGGGUGAAGAUCUAGUGGAGGGGUGGAGGUCUAGUGGAGGGGUGAAAGUCUAGUGGAGGGGUGAAGGUCUAGUGUAGGGGUGAAAAUCUAGUGGAGGGGUGAAGGUCUAGUUUCACAGACUGGUCUAGUGGAGGGGUGAAGGUCUAGUGGAGGGGUGAAGAUCUAGUGGAGGGG
ensembl:lncRNA